AUUGAACGCUGGCGGCAGGCCUAACACAUGCAAGUCGAACGGGAACAGGAAGCAGCUUGCUGCUUUGCUGGCGAGUGGCGGACGGGUGGGUAAUGUCUGGGAAACUGCCUGAUGGAGGGGGAUAACUACUGGAAACGGUAGCUAAUACCGCAUAACGUCGCAAGACCAAAGAGGGGGACCUUAGGGCCUCUUUCCAUCGGAUGUGCCCAGAUGGGAUUAGCUAGUAGGUGGGGUAACGGCUCACCUAGGCGACGAUCCCUAGCUGGUCUGAGAGGAUGACUAGCAACACUGGAACUGAGACACGGUCCAGACUCCUACGGGAGGCAGCAGUGGGGACUAUUGCACAAUGGGCGAAAGCCUGAUGCAGCCAUGCCGCGUGUAUGAAGAAGGCCUUCGGGUGGUAAAGUAAUUUCAGCGGGGAGGAAGGGAGUAAAGUUAAUACCUUUGCUCAUUGACGUUACCCGCAGAAGAAGCACCGGCUAACUCCGUG
rnacentral:rRNA from 1 species